rnacentral:lncRNA from 1 species
UGACUAUGUAAAUUGACAUGAUCUGCUGCUCACGCAUGAGCCGAGUUCGAAAUCUCACAACCUCAUCGGAACCCAUUGACGUGCAACUUUCACUCUUCGCUGAUUUGAGAUCUACUUCGUUAGUACCAGUCGGGAAACCUCAUGAGUGAUACACCUUAGAAGAAAGAUAAAGACUCUUUCGUUGAGGCAAUCGAUGGAU